UCUUCAUUUCACGCGCUCUCUCACAGGUCAUAGAGGCGAUAGAGUAUGUGAAAUGAAGAGA
rnacentral:pre_miRNA from 1 species